CACCACAGAAUGCAACAGAAGAAGGCUACAACCGGGUGAUUGUAGCAUGUUGUGUUCUGCACAACAUCUGCAAAGAGAGAGCAAUCCCUAUCAACGGCGAUGAUGAUUCUGAUGACGAGGAUGAUAAUGCAGAUGAUCAACUGGCACAGGGAGUGCAGCAACCUCCAAAUGCGGCGGGGAAUAGAUUCAGGGAUCAUGUUGCAGCAACAUAUUUCAGGCCAUGAUUUCCAUGCAGGUGCUGCAGUGACUGCAGCCGUUGUUGUUAGUGUUGUUGCUGCUACUACUUCCAGAACAGUUGACAGGGUAACUUGUGGACAUAUCCUGUACCGGCUGUAGUGGCUCCUCGCAC